rnacentral:rRNA from 1 species
GAUGUCGACAGAGUUUGAUCCUGGCUCAGAUUGAACGCUGCGGCAGGCCUAACACAUGCAAGUCGAGCGGCAGCACGGGUACUUGUACCUGGUGGCGAGCGGCGGACGGGUGAGUAAUACCUAGGAAUCUGCCUGGUAGUGGGGGAUAACGUUCGGAAACGGACGCUAAUACCGCAUACGUCCUACGGGAGAAAGCAGGGGACCUUCGGGCCUUGCGCUAUCAGAUGAGCCUAGGUCGGAUUAGCUAGUUGGUGAGGUAAUGGCUCACCAAGGCUACGAUCCGUAACUGGUCUGAGAGGAUGAUCAGUCACACUGGAACUGAGACACGGUCCAGACUCCUACGGGAGGCAGCAGUGGGGAAUAUUGGACAAUGGGCGAAAGCCUGAUCCAGCCAUGCCGCGUGUGUGAAGAAGGUCUUCGGAUUGUAAAGCACUUUAAGUUGGGAGGAAGGGCAUUAACCUAAUACGUUAGUGUUUUGACGUUACCGACAGAAUAAGCACCGGCUAACUCUGUGCCAGCAGCCGCGGUAAUACAGAGGGUGCAAGCGUUAAUCGGAAUUACUGGGCGUAAAGCGCCCCGUUA